rnacentral:lncRNA from 1 species
AUUCAGCCGAUGACGUCGCGAGCAAGGAGGAGAGGAGGAGUACAGCUCCCCGCCCGGCGCUGGAGAAAGGUAAGUGUUUAACCCCUUCCUCUCUCCAGAGCCCGGCGGGAGGGGGUCCCUGAGGGUGGGAGCACCCUCAGGGCACUAUAGUGCCAGGAAAACAAGUAUGUUUUCCUGGCACUAUAGUGGUCCUUUAACUCCAUGGCGAUUUGACUGUGUUUGUGGCAUCUGAGCACUGUUCGGAUAUAGUGAGCGCCCAAAUCCAAGCUAUCUGGGGAUAGGUUGAAUGUGGGGGUUCUGUUAAGUAUAAUAGGAAUUAUGUAUUUUUAUGUGUUUUUACUGUUGUUGUGAAUAGAGCUAUUUUCUGUAUGCUGGAGGUUAUUGACUUACCACACCCAAGCCAUUCUUGCAGAUGGUCACAAAGGGACUUUCAACUAACUUUUGACCCACUGGACCAAUUUGUAUGAUUUUGGCGUAUGUUUGUAUUUGGAGUAUGCUGAUUUUGAAAAUGUAUGUGAAUGUGAUGUAUACUUUCAGAGUUAUGAAUAUUGUGUAAAACUGUGUAUUUUCCUGCCUGUGAUAAUUAAGUUAGACCAUUGUGUUCAGUAAUUAUAUCACAGGCAGAGGGGAGGUUUUUGUGUGGGGAUGUCUGAGUGUAUUGUAUGUAUUGAUUGGUUGUUCUGCAAAACACUGUGGGCAGUACUGUGUGUGUAAAAUGUGCAUAAAAGCAGAAUGUUUGAUUAAAAGCUACAGUUCUUCUUCACCCUCACACGUAGUCUUGUUUCGUGAUUGGAGGGCACAACUAAACUCACACUGGGGAUUGCUAUGCUCUGCAUACUCCCCUGAGCUGUAAUCACUUAGCUCUUUUAAGAGCUUGUUCCUGUUACGCUCUCCUGGAGAAGAGGUCUUCACCACAAGGUCCUGGAGGACAAAAGUUGAUCCAGGGUGGACGAGGACGGUGAGACUCCAGUUAAGCUACGGUGGUUGUGGUGUCUGGUGUGGUGCUUGUGGUCCUCGGCGCAAGCUAGGAAGCGUCCAUCAACGGAAGGGCUUAUAUGAUACUUGCCAUUGCAAACCUGGAGGCCACAGUCCCUAGUUGUAAAUUUCAACUAUCCAGGGCAAAAUUUACACUCGCUAAUGGUUAACCCCUUAAGGACCAAACUUCUGGAAUAAAAGGGAAUCAUGACAUGUCCCACAUGUCAUGUGUCCUUAAGGGGUUAAAGGAAAGUGGGAAUAUUGAGCUCUGUGUAGCAUAUAAAUCAGUGAGACACGAGGUCUCUAUAAGGAGGCAAGUAAAGUAACCUUUAAAUUGUAAGCUCACAGUCUAUCUUGACAAGUACUUUGUAGAAAAGAGCUUUAAUGGCUAGAUCUCAAGUCAUGGGCAGGGCCUUCAUUACCGUUUGUAUUGAUUUGUGUUUAUUUUACUGUCCUGUUUCUCAUUUGAACAGCUCUGUGGAAAAUGUUAGUUUUUAAUAAAUGCAUUCAUUAUAUGAUCUAAUUGAUGGUGUCUGGCCUUCCAAAUGAAAAUAAUGAUGACAAUCUUUUAGUAGAAUGAUUUGUUUUAGUUAUGUUAAAAACAUUGUGUGGUUAUUAUGAAAUGGUAACCAGAAUUAGUUCAUGUAGACAAUUAAUUUCCGUGUAUAUGUUCUACUGCCAGGCUGGGAACCUUAUGCAUGAAUAUCUGAAACAGCAGCAUCAAACACAGCCCGAAUCAUGUAGACAGUGGGUGCAAAGUCAAGAUAUCCAUGCGUUAAAGGAGAAGAGACUAAACUUUAUUGCUGGAAUUUGAAACAACAUCAAACACAGCCAGAAUCACAUACACAUAGGGAGCUGAGUAGAGAGAUUUGUGGGUUCAUGGAGCAGAGGUUUAACAUUACUGCUCAUUGAAGAAACAAGAUUAUGGCUCAAGAUUAUGCAAAAAAGACUUUUGGUCACAUUUUUCAUCAAAGUCAUCGUUUGGGAUUUACUUUCUACUUCUAAAUGUCUUUUGAGAACAUUUAUGGAACUUUAUUUUUCUGAAUUAAGAAAUUAAACUGUCAUGUUAUCUAAUGUUAUAGUCAUUUGCAAUUUAAUUCUAAGGCUGGAAAUGAUUGGGUAUCAC